UUAUGACAUACAAUAAUGCUGGAUAAUAAAAUCAAUAGAUUAAAAUUCAAAGAACUUGGCGGUAUCUUAUAUCAUCAGGGGAAUCUGUCACUUAAUUUGAUAGUCCACGUAAUAAAUCCCAUUUUUUAUAAAGCCUGUGUACUGCUGUCGUCAGUAAACCUCUAAAAGAUAGUUUACAAUAAUACUUUUUAUUUACGUCAAGUCAAAGUGCAGCUAAUAAAAUGGGGUAGAUGGAUUACAAUCAAAAUAAAGAUACGAAUAAUAAAAUUGAAGGUGGACUUGAAAGUAAUGACUAAAAAUCAUGAAUUAUACCUAAGAUAUGCACACAUCGCCCGUCACUCUCUUCUAAAGAUG
rnacentral:rRNA from 1 species